rnacentral:rRNA from 1 species
GACGAACGCUGGCGGCGUGCUUAACACAUGCAAGUCGAACGGAAAGGCCCUGCUUUUGUGGGGUGCUCGAGUGGCGAACGGGUGAGUAACACGUGAGUAACCUGCCCUUGACUUUGGGAUAACUUCAGGAAACUGGGGCUAAUACCGGAUAGGAGCUCCUGCUGCAUGGGGGGGGUUGGAAAGUUUCGGCGGUUGGGGCUGGACUCGCGGCUUAUCAGCUUGUUGGUGGGGUAGGGGCUUACCAAGGCUUUGACGGGUAGCCGGCCUGAGAGGGUGACCGGCCACAUUGGGACUGAGGUACGGCCCAGACUCCUACGGGAGGCAGCAGUGGGGAAUAUUGCACAAUGGGCGGAAGCCUGAUGCAGCAACGCCGCGUGCGGGAUGACGGCCUUCGGGUUGUAAACCGCUUUCGCCUGUGACGAAGCGUGAGUGACGGUAAUGGGUAAAGAAGCACCGGCUAACUGCGUG